rnacentral:misc_RNA from 1 species
GAUGAAGAACGCAGCGAAAUGCGAUAAGUAAUGUGAAUUGCAGAAUUCAGUGAAUCAUCGAAUCUUUGAACGCACAUUGCGCCCGCUAGUAUUCUGGCGGGCAUGCCUGUCCGAGCGUCAUUUCAACCCUCAAGCCCCCGGGCUUGGUGUUGGGGAUCGGCGAGCCUCCGCGCCCGCCGUCCCCUAAAUCUAGUGGCGGUCUCGCUGUAGCUUCCUCUGCGUAGUAGCACACCUCGCACUGGGAAACAGCGCGGCCACGCCGUUAAACCCCCAACUUCUGAACGUUUGACCUCGGAUCAGGUAGGAAUACCCGCUGAACUUAAGAAUAUCAAUAAGCGGAGGA